GCUCUCUCAGCCCCACCUACCUCACAGGGUGUCUGCUGUGUGUGUGUGGUGGUGGGGGGGGGGAGAGAAGGUAAAGGAGAUUGUGACCACU